ensembl:lncRNA
AGACGACCACCAGUACAGCGAACGCCAGGUCAGCAGAUGAACCACAUCCCUCUCCACAAUCAGAUGCUGAGGAAGAUGAUCUACCUGGUCCCAGCAGCACUCUUCAAAAGAUUGUGACUGACGUCCAAACCCAAGGUCAGUUUUUCCCACUGAGACGGACCAAAAGUAUCAUAAUGAAAUACACAAAUCUUGAGGAACCUGGUCAACUCUAUGAUUCUUCAUCAGGGAGUGGAGAGGAAUACAUUCCAGAUACCACUUCUGAAAGCGACGGCAACAGUGAUGCCAGCCUUUGUCUAAAUCCAAGACAAAAACAGCAGUCUCUUGAUCAUCCGAUGGAUAUCUCUGGCCCUUUGAGUCCCACUGUCUGCGACUCCACCACAUCAGAUAAAAUGACUUUUGACAAUGACAGGCAUGGUGUUGCAUCUGAACUCACUGAAGUAUAUGAAGAACCUUGUUCAAGUCAGAGCCAAAAUAGCAGCGUAGUUGUUAAUGCAUGUAAAAAAAAAGAUGGGAAAAGAGUGUACGACAAGAGACAUUAUUGCUGGUACUGCUGUAAGCCUUAUGCUAAGAUAGCAAGGCAUCUCGAACGUGCACACAAAGACAAAUCUGAUGUAGCUAAGGCUCUAAGUUUCCCAAAGGGGUCCAAGAAGAGACAUGCACUGUUAGAUUAUAUCCGCAACAAGGGAAACUUUGCUCACAAUGCUUCUGUUAUGGAGUCAGGAAAGGGAGAACUGGUGCCGUUUAGAAGACCCACUAAAGAAGCACAGGGAAAUGACUUCAUGCACUGUGCAUAUUGUCAAGGACUUUACAAGCGAAAGGUCCUCUGGCAACAUAUGAACACUUGUAAAGUUAAACCUGGAUCAGUCGUCCCUACACCAGGAAAGAACCGAGUUCAGUCCAUGUGUGCAUACACAAUGCCUGUGCCGCCAAACAUUACUAAGAAGCUGUGGGGAGUAAUCAGUGCCAUGAAUCCUGACUUAGUCACAAAUAUAGUAAAAAAUGACCAAGUCAUUAUUGAUAUUGGGCAGCACCUGUUAAACAAAGGAGGGCUGUCAGCCAAGAAUCAACAGUGUGUGCGAGAAAAGAUGCGAGAAAUGGGAAGGCUGGUUGAAAAUGCCAGAAGAUACACCAGCUUAAAAAAAAUGGAAGACUUCAUAAAUCCAAAGAAGUACAUGGAGACUGUCAAAGCUGUUAAGGUUACAUGUGGGUAUGACAGUGAAACAAAUAAGUUCUUAAUUCCAUCACUAGCAAACAAACUUGGGAAUGCCCUGGUUAAAGUAAGUAAAUUCUUAAAAGCUCAGGGUUUAAUUACAAACAAUGAAGAGCUUGUGAGGAAUGCCACUGAUUUUCAAGCUGUACAUCAGGAAAAGUGGAAUGCCAUGAUUUCGGCUACAGCAUUGAGGAACAUCAGGGAGGCCAAGUGGAACAUGCCCACUCUCCUGCCCUUUACCGAAGAUGUCCAAAAACUGCAUUCAUAUCUCAAUCAAGUGCAUGAUAACGUGUACAACUCACUCUCUGAAAGUCCUUCCACUAAAGCCUGGAAGGAGCUGGCUAAGGUGUGCCUGGCGGACAUCAUCCUCUUUAACCGGCGCAGAGAAGGAGAGGUGGCAAACAUGACUUUAGCUACAUUUUCAUCACGGGACACUUCUGAUCCACAUGAGGAUGUGGACUGGGCACUCUCUGAAGUAGAAAAAAAACUCUGCAGACACUUCUCAAGGAUUGUCACUAGGGGAAAACGUGGUCGCCCAGUUCCAAUUCUUCUGACUCCAAAAAUGUUGAGUGCAUUAGAUCUCCUCGUUAAGCAGAGAGAGGCUUGUGGGGUUCUAAAAGACAAUUAUUAUGUGUUUGCAAGACCAGGAGCCAUGUCACAUUUUCGAGGUUCAGACUGCCUUCGUAAUUUUGCCAAGGAAUGUGGUGCCAAGUGUCCAAAGUUACUGACAUCUACCAGACUACGAAAGCAUGCUGCAACCCUUUCAACAGUGCUGAACAUGACAGACACCGAGAUGGACCAGCUGGCCAACUUUCUUGGACAUGACAUAAGAAUUCAUCGUGCGUUCUAUCGACUUCCUGAGAAGACUUUGCAGCUUGCCAAGAUCAGCAAAGUUCUAAUGGCCCUUGAACAAGGAAGACUGGCUGAGUUUCAUGGAAAGAACUUGGAUGAGAUUGGAAUAGAUCCAGAUGAAAAUGUUCUAGACUGUGAUGAAGACAGGUGCACACAGGAGGGAAGCUGUUCAUCUGCUGAAGAUGAACCAGCAGACGAGACACUUCCUCCCACUGAGAGAAAUGAAAUGCCACCACCACCCAAGAGAUUCAAGCCCCUACCAUCAGAUGAUAAUGUAGCAUCAGGGGUCACCUCUUCCUCCAAAGGUAAAUCUACUCGAACGAAGAAAACACCCUGGCAACAAACAGAGGUGCAAGCAGUGGAAAGACACAUGAAAC